rnacentral:rRNA from 1 species
GGGGAAUAUUGCACAAUGGGCGCAAGCCUGAUGCAGCGACGCCGCGUGAGGGAUGAAGGCCUUCGGGUUGUAAACCUCUUUCGUCAGGGAACAAGGCACUGCUUUUGGUGGUGUUGAGGGUACCUGGAUAAGAAGCGCCGGCUAACUACGUGCCAGCAGCCGCGGUAAUACGUAGGUGGCAAGCGUUGUCCGGAAUUAUUGGGCGUAAAGCGCGCGCAGGCGGAUUGGUCAGUCUGUCUUAAAAGUUCGGGGCUUAACUCCGUGAUGGGAUGGAAACUGCCAAUCUAGAGUAUCGGAGAGGAAAGUGGAAUUCCUAGUGUAGCGGUGAAAUGCGUAGAUAUUAGGAAGAACACCAGUGGCGAAGGCGACUUUCUGGACGAAAACUGACGCUGAGGCGCGAAAGCCAGGGGAGCGAACGGGAUUAGAUACCCCGGUAGUCCUGGCCGUAAACGAUGGGUACUAGGUGUAGGAGGUAUCGACCCCUUCUGUGCCGGAGUUAACGCAAUAAGUACCCCGCCUGGGGAGUACGACCGCAAGGUUG